GAAUGUGGCUGCUGUAGGAAGAAACUGGAAUGACGAGCAAAUUGAAGAUGAGUACAAAAAUUACAGAAAAAAUCUAAGGUUGGAAAUUCAAAGAGCAUGGCAAAAAUAUAGUGAGGUCCUCUGUUCUGCACAAUGCAUUGUUGAAGGGCAGAUUUCUCAGGAUGACUACACAGAGCCCACUGACUCUGUAUGAGCUGACCAAGCAGAACCUGCUGAACUGUGAGACCACAACCAGCAGUGCUCUGCAUGACUUGCCCACCCUUAUCUUCCAUGAAAUAUUCAUAGAGGCCUUCAUGGGGGAACACAAUGAGGUCCUGAAGGUGAUGGUGCAGGCCUGGCCUUUCCCCUGCCUCCCUUUGAGGAGCCUGAUGGAUUUGAGGGAACCAAAAACCCCACACCCUCAGCUGGGAGAAAUUACACUGAAACAGAGAAACCUAUGGACCUUGGAAGCCCUACUGGAUGGACUUGACAUGCAGCUGUCCCAGAAGGUUCAUCACAGGAGGUGGAGUCUGCAGGUGCUGGAUUGGAGGGAUGUACACCAGGACUUCUGGACUGUAGGACCCAGAGCCGUGAGUGCUGCCCGCUCAGAAGAUGGCCAGCAGUAAGGAAGCAGGCAAGCCUGGGUUGAGGAAGAAGAAGCCGACCUUGACAAUCCUCGCAUACCUUUGCUUUGAAGCCUGGAUUAGGCCUUGUGCCACCUGUGAUGAAUUACAACUCUGUCUCUUGAAGUGGGCCAGGAAGAGAAAAGCUUAGUACUCCUGUGCUGUGAGAAGGUGAUGAUCAAUUCCAAUGGUGUCUUUACAUUCCUGAAGCUUCUUCGCGCUAUGCAACUGGACUCUAUCCAGGAGCUGGACGUGUUCAGUGACUGGGGUCGGGAAAGCAUGAAGCAUUUGUUCCUCAGCUCAAGAAGAUGAUGAACCUUCACACAUUUCACUUCAGUAGCCUGAGCCCAGAAGUGUAUACUUCAGCCUGGAAAAACAAAUGGGAUUUCCCCAUCUAUGCUUUUCACUUAGGACAGAUGCAAAAUCUCCUGGAGCUUUGUAUAGAUGUUGUCUUCUUCCUGGAAGGAACUCUGCAUAAAAUCUUAAGGAGCCAGACCCCCUUAGAGGCCCUCUCCUUGAGUUCAAGUCCACUGAAAGAAUCUGUCCUAAAGCAUCUGUCCUGGUGUUGAAGCACAAGCCAGCUGAAGUCCCUGAGUCUGAGGAAGUUCUCAGUGAAGUCAUUCAACCCACAGACUCUCCACUUUCUGCUAGACAAACUGGCCAGCACCCUGUAGUCCCUGGUCCUAGAGAACUGUGACAUCACAGACUCCCAUAUCCUUGCCAUCUUGCCUGCCCUGAGGCACUGCUCCCAACUCAAGACCUUAAGUUGCUAUAGGAACCACAUUUCCCUGGGCAUUCUUAAGGUCCUGCUGCACGUGUGUGUGGGGCUGAGCCAGUUAACCCACGGUCUGUAUCCUGUCCCCCUGGAGAGCUAUGAGUCCAAGAUUCCAGCAAAGUUUGUGCACCCUGAACAAUUUCCCCGAGUCUGUGCUGAAUUUGCACAGAUACUGAAGGACAUGUGGCCAUCUCUUAGGGUCCAGAUCUGUAUCUUCUCCUGUGAUUGGUGCAUGAUUUGCCAGCUGUAUAGACUGGACCCAGUGGAAACUGGAAAGUCACAGAGGAGUAUACCUAUCAAAGUACAGUGAGAUGCAAUAGUUCAUACAUCCACAACCCAGAGUCUAUAUUUUUUAAAUCUAGGUGUCCCCCCAAAGCCCCACAGGUAGGAUUUGUGGGAGGUGAUUGGAUCGUGGUAACAUGACACUCACCAGUGGAUUAGCCCACUGAGUCCAUAGCUAUCUGUGAUGCUGGGAGGUGAAGCCUGGUCAGAGGAGGUGGGUCAUUGGGGGCAUGACCUAGAAGGCUCUACCUACCUCUUCUGUUAAUCUCUCUCUGCUUCCCACAGCCAGGCCAUGAGCUGUUUCUCCUCUGUUGUGUACCUCUACCAUGCCAGCCUAUGACCUGAACUGUAAGACAAAAUAAGCUUUUCUCUUUGAUUUUGUGAGUGUUGGCUAUUGUGUACCAGUGACAAGGGAAGUAAUGAAGACAUGUGCAUGUCUGAAGUUAGUUCUGCAUAGGUGACUGUCAAGAAAUGGUCAUAAAGGGACCUUUGCCAGUUAUGGUAAAAUAGGCUCAGCACAUUGGAAGCUGAGGCAGGAGGAUCUCUUCGAGUUAGAACCAGCCUGGGCUACAUAGUGUGAGACCUUAUUUAAAAGAUAAAUAAAUAGAUAAACAAAGAAAGGGAACUUCAAUGUAAACUCUUUUGUGGUGACCCAGUGACUUGAUUUUCCAGUAUAUUUAUGCAUUUAUUACUUUUUUGUUUCUUUUAGUAUGUUUGCCUUGCAUACUAAUGAUAGUUAUCUUGGGUAGGGAAGCUUUCUUUUCUUCCUCUGUUUUUGUUUUUGUUUUUGUUUUUGUUUGGUAGUCUGGGGGACUGAACUCAAGAUUUUCACACUGAGCUAUCACUCCAGCCCUUUUAAUUUUUUGCAUUUUUCUGUGUAAAUGUUUGCAGUACUAAAUGAACACUUUCAUCAUGGGGCAUUGGUACAAGUACAUAAAACAUCCUGUUUUUAUGUCCCCUUCCCACCCCUUCCAUCUCUUUGUCGUCUUCUAUUUGCAAGUUCAUUUUUGGAGACUGAGUCUCACCAAGUAGUUAAGUUCUUCAGGCUAGGCUUGAACCUGCAAUCCUGUGUCAAACUCCAAGACAGCUGGGAUUACUGGCAUGCAUCACCACACCCAGCUUGGUUUUUCAAUUUGACCUCAGCAAAGUCCAACAGUUGGAGGAAAAAAACCCAUUGGAUUGUCUUGUGUCCAUGAGGAUAGGCUGUAGGAUCUUGAGGCAUCAAAAUAACAUGUUGCCAUUUAGACCCUUCCUUUCCUUUUUUCAAGUGUUGAGGUGAACCUGGGGCCUCACUCAUGCUAGGCCAGUGAUCGACCAUUGAGCUACACUCCCAGCCCCCUUCCCUUUUGUUUCCUUCUCUGGGGACAUCUGUUGCCUCCCUGCUUAUUAUUGUGGCUGUUUGCAGAAUGUGUGAAAGAAAGCCCCAGGUUGGUUUUGUUCACUUGGGGUUGCACCUGUGAUGCCCACAUGCUUUCACUGCUUGAUGAUAUUCUAUUGUCAGGAUAGAGCAGAGUUUAGUUAUCAUUCAUCCACUGAAGGAUAAGUGGUCAAUUCCAAACACUGGCAGUGAUGAUGAGAGCAGCUGAGAACAUCUGAGUGGAGAUCUGCUUACUUGGAUAAACACCUAAGAGUCCCAUUGCUGGGUGAUGUACUAGGGAUAUAUGUUGUCAUUUUUCCAAUGACAAAUUUUCCUGUUACAAUUGACUCAUAAAUGGCAGUAACACUCUACAACCCUGUGCUUCACAGCUGAGCAUGGAGCCCGGCAAGUGGCAGUAUCUGCUGACUGACUAUAGGUGGCUUGAACAUUUCCAGUGUCAAGUUCUAGUCAGGAAGAGGGAAGUCUGGGUAAUAUCUGACUAUUUCAUGCUGGCCUUGAACUAACUAGCCCAGUUUGGGCUCAAACUCAGCAAUGCUCCUGUCUCAGCUUCACAAGCACUGGAAUCAGAGAUAUGUGCUAGCAUGCCCCCAAGCUCCACUUUGCUUCAGGUGCUCAUCUGUAAUCCUAGCAAUCAGGAGGCUGAUGCCAGAGGCUGGAGAGUUCAAAACCUUGUGUGGACUACAGAGGAAGAUCCUGUCUCAAGGACAAGACAAGACUUCUGGGAAGAUGGGGGAGUGGUGAGCAACAAAGAAAGAACCUCUCCAAGAUUUGAUGUCCUGACAGUGGAAUAUAGUGGUGCAUGGAGGAGAAGAAGGAGGGAAGUGGGUCCCCAGGACCCACAAAAGAGCUCAAGUAAGAAUGAAAGAACACGGGGACCAAGAGAAAGACUUCAGUGAAGAGGAGGGAGAUAACAAGCAGCGUUCUCUUCCAGAGCCUGGACUUGAAGUGUGGGAAUGGUGGGUGGGACCUGCAGAAGCAUAGUGACUACUGCUGAUCCAAGAGGCCUCCACAGAGAAAUGCAACAGUGGAACAGAGGAGUGGAUGCAGCACACUGCAGUGGCUGAUGAGUUACCCGGGUUCAGACAUCACCUGGGAGAGGAAGAUUGGCUGAGAGCCAUCCUGGAGAGGGGCCAACUGAUCUCAGAACUCAGAACAGCUGUGGGCAGACUCCAUCUAGUGGCUCUCGGUGUCUCGAUGUGGGUGCCAAGUGCAAGUCAGCAGGAGGCCAGGGGAGUGGAGUUCAAGCUGGCAAAGGCACAGGGACAGUUGUAGACUCAAGGAAUCCUGUUCCAGCCUCAUAGCCAGAAAACGGUGUGAACUUCAGUGGAACUAAAGGGGCAGGCUGCCUGGAAUUAUCCACUACCCCUUGUGAAGCUGUGGCUGUCUUGCUGGGUUUAAUCAAUUCAACUCUGAACUCUUAUCUGCCUGCAUUCAAUACCAGUGAGAGCAGAGACACACCUUGAAUUGGACUUUUUCUUUUAUUUGUUUCUUUUUUCUUUUUUUCCCCUCCUUUCUGUUUCUUGUUUUGUCUUUACUUGAUAGAAUACAGUUUUUAGUUUUUUGUUGUUUUGUUUUAUUCUUGUUUUUAUUUCUUCCUUUUAUCUUCCCUCUAUCUUCUUCACUAGUCUCCUAAAGUUUUUUCUCCAGCCUUGCUUCUGAUCUCUUCCUCUUCUUCUAUUUCUCUGCUUUUUCCUCUCUAACCCCUUUUAAAUCUUCUCCCCUAAUGGUAAAAUCACCAUAAUAAGAGCUUAUGUACUGCAACAGUUUUGGGGUUUGUUCUAGGUUUUGUUAUAUAACCACAAAUCUAGUUCAUAUGGUUAAAGGUAGCAAAUUAAGAGUUACCACAGUUUGUCAUUUUCUGGGCUGGAUUUCAUGCUAUUGUUGUUGUUGAUUUUAUUUCUUUAGCCAAGGUGGCAUAAUUGUGCUAAUCAGUUGUUCCUCUGGGUAUACCAAGACUGAGAUUGCCUAAGGAUCUUAAAACAGACAAACUAUUGGCCAGUGCCAAAGAACUGGUUGGUAGGCCAAGUAGGUAGUAACUUCUC